rnacentral:rRNA from 1 species
GACGAACGCUGGCGGCGUGCUUAACACAUGCAAGUCGAGCGGUAAGGCCCUUUCGGGGGUACACGAGCGGCGAACGGGUGAGUAACACGUGGGUGACCUGCCCUUAGCUCUGGGAUAAGCCUGGGAAACUGGGUCUAAUACCGGAUAUGACUCCAUGACGCAUGUUGUGGGGUGGAAAGCCUUGUGCGGCUAGGGAUGGGCCCGCGGCCUAUCAGCUUGUUGGUGGGGUGAUGGCCACCAAGGCGACGACGGGUAGCCGGCCUGAGAGGGCGACCGGCCACACUGGGACUGAGACACGGCCCAGACUCCUACGGGAGGCAGCAGGUGGGGAAUCUUGCGCAAUGGGCGAAAGCCUGACGGAGCGACGCCGCGUGAGCGAUGAAGGCC